GACGAACGCUGGCGGCGUGCUUAACACAUGCAAGUCGAACGGAAAGGCCCUGCUUUUGUGGGGUGCUCGAGUGGCGAACGGGUGAGUAACACGUGAGUAACCUGCCCUUGACUUUGGGAUAACUUCAGGAAACUGGGGCUAAUACCGGAUAGGAGCUCCUGCUGCAUGGUGGGGGUUGGAAAGUUUCGGCGGUUGGGGAUGGACUCGCGGCUUAUCAGCUUGUUGGUGGGGUAGUGGCUUACCAAGGCUUUGACGGGUAGCCGGCCUGAGAGGGUGACCGGCCACAUUGGGACUGAGAUACGGCCCAGACUCCUACGGGAGGCAGCAGUGGGGAAUAUUGCACAAUGGGCGGAAGCCUGAUGCAGCAACGCCGCGUGCGGGAUGACGGCCUUCGGGUUGUAAACCGCUUUCGCCUGUGACGAAGCGUGAGUGACGGUAAUGGGUAAAGAAGCACCGGCUAACUACGUGCCAGCAGCCGCGGUGAUACGUAGGGUGCGAGCGUUGUCCGGAUUUAUUGGGCGUAAAGGGCUCGUAGGUGGUUGAUCGCGUCGGAAGUGUAAUCUUGGGGCUUAACCCUGAGCGUGCUUUCGAUACGGGUUGACUUGAGGAAGGUAGGGGAGAAUGGAAUUCCUGGUGGAGCGGUGGAAUGCGCAGAUAUCAGGAGGAACACCAGUGGCGAAGGCGGUUCUCUGGGCCUUUCCUGACGCUGAGGAGCGAAAGCGUGGGGAGCGAACAGGCUUAGAUACCCUGGUAGUCCACGCUGUAAACGGUGGGUACUAGGUGUGGGGUCCAUUCCACGGGUUCCGUGCCGUAGCUAACGCUUUAAGUACCCCGCCUGGGGAGUACGGCCGCAGGGCUAUAACUCAAAGGAAUUGACGGGGCCCCGCACAAGCGGCGGAGCAUGCGGAUUAAUUCGAUGCAACGCGUAGAACCUUACCUGGGUUUGACAUGGAUCGGGAGUGCUCAGAGAUGGGUGUGCCUCUUUUGGGGUCGGUUCACAGGUGGUGCAUGGCUGUCGUCAGCUCGUGUCGUGAGAUGUUGGGUUAAGUCCCGCAACGAGCGCAACCCUUGUUCACUGUUGCCAGCACGUUAUGGUGGGGACUCAGUGGAGACCGCCGGGGUCAACUCGGAGGAAGGUGGGGAUGACGUCAAGUCAUCAUGCCCCUUAUGUCCAGGGCUUCACGCAUGCUACAAUGGCUGGUACAGAGAGUGGCGAGCCUGUGAGGGUGAGCGAAUCUCGGAAAGCCGGUCUCAGUUCGGAUUGGGGUCUGCAACUCGACCUCAUGAGGUCGGAGUCGCUAGUAAUCGCAGAUCAGCAACGCUGCGGUGAAUACGUUCCCGGG
rnacentral:rRNA from 1 species